ensembl:lncRNA
AUGCUGUGCCAUGCUGUACCACACUGUGCCGUGCUGUACCAUGCUGUGCCACACUGUGCCAUGCUGUACCACACUGUGCCAUGCUGUACCACACUGUGCUGUGCUGUGCUGUGCUGUGCUGUGCUGUGCUGUGUUGCACCGUGCCGUGCCGUGCUGUUACCAUGGUGUGCCGUGCUGUGCCAUGCCGUGUUGCGCUGUGUCGUGCUAUGCCAUGCUGUACAGUGCUGUGCAGUGCUAUUCUGUGCUGUGCUGUUCCACACUGUUCUGUCCUGUCCCGUGCCGUGCUGUGCCGUGCCGUGCUGUGCCAUGCUGUACAGUGCUGUGCAGUGCCAUUCUGUGCCGUGCUGUGCCGCACUGUCCUGUCCCGUGCCAUACCGUGCCGAGGCUCGGGGCCGGCUGUUCUCCCCUCACCGCUCCCCCCGCGCGGGCGCAGGCAGCUGGCUCUGUUUGCUGGAGGCUUUGCGCAUUCCAGUUCGUGGGUCACUCGCCUUCGAAACCUCUCCGGGGACAGAGGCAGUUGGGAGCCGUAAGAAACAACCCGAGGGCUGCAGUGGCGCCCGCGCCCGGCGCUGCCUGCCAGCCCUGGGGUGGGGGCCUUGGGAGAGCACCCCCUGCUCUCCUUGGGUGCAGGAGGGGAGCUCUGGGGUGAGGCAGUACGAGUAACCGGGGAGGAGGGACACGCCGCAGGUUUCUGUGCAGGAGGUGGGAGUGAUCGCUUUUUGGGGGGCAGUGGAGAGUGCAGGAGGAAUGCUGUGGUCACUUUUGCAUUGGGGACAGGGUACAGAGUGGGGCACUGGCAGGGGGCGUCAUCCAUGAUCCAUAUGGGAAGGGGUGGUGAAGCUGGCCAGGCACAGCACGGGCAAGAGGACAACGUGGGCAGCAAGUGUGAGGCGGCUCAGGGCUGGUUAUGGUGUCCUGGAAUGUGCGUCGGAGCCGUCCCGAGGAGUUCCUGGGUCCGGUGGGGUGGUGCGAGAGUGGUGGGAGCGCAGCGCAGCUUGGGGAGGCUGGGCGGUGCAGGGAAGGUCAGCCUUGGCCAGAUGCAGCCACUCCACCCUCCUCCAGUGCUUUGCACAUUAAUGCAAAUGCACUGGCCUGAGUGGUUCAUUAGCAGCAUGUGGAAUGGAAUAAUGCAUCCGCAUCCCAUUAGCCUAAUGAAAAAAAGGGAGCCGGCACCUGGAACAAAGCUGCCGACUCUUGGCUAGUGCUCUGGCUCGGCCAUGCUGGGCCGUGGGGGCCCCCCUUCCCUUCCCCUCCUUUCCCAUCCCUUCCCUCCGCCGCCCCAGCCAUCGCCUGCCCAGCCCUCUGAGCAUCCUCCCCGUGCGCAGCAGAAGGCGGCCCAUCCCCAGGGUGUCACCACGGAUCCCAUCCCCAGGGUGUCACCACGAAUCCCAUCCCCAGGAUGCCACCACAGAUCCCAUCCCCAGGAUGUCACCGCGGCAUGGUGCAGCCCCAGGAGGACUUCAGGGUGGUCCCAGCAUCACCCCUCAGCAUGCCAGGGUGGGAGAGGGAUCCAAGGCAGUAGUGCCACAGCGGCACAGCUGCGUGUUGAGCUGUCUCCGUGUCCGUGGGGCUGGGAGUGCAGAGCCUGAAGGAUCCGGGGGCACCCCAGGGUGGGCAGAGCCGGUCGCAGCAUCAUUCUUCUGCUUCCCCGAGUGGGAGGGGG